UUAAGCUUGUGUCCUUGCUGCUUCUUAUUCUGAUCACAAAACUGAUCCGCUUUUGGCUGUUGCUCGCAAGAAUGGUUUGGUUGAGUGUCUAAAUCCUAUUAAUGGAGAGGCUUUGGGCAUCACUAAGAUCGAUCAACCCUUAUCACUGGAUGGCUCUCUUAAUGAUGAUCAUGUUGUUGGAUUGCAUCUCUUCAAAACUAAAGGAAUCGAUGUUCCAUCAAGGUCAGUUUCAUUACUUACCUGUCUGGAAAAGGGUAAUGCUUGCUUGAGGUCCAUUCCCGUCGGUGAUGCGCCAGAAAACUCAACUACUGCUUCUCAUAUUACAUGGAAUGUAUGCUCUUCUGGUAAAAUAAUAUGUUCU